rnacentral:rRNA from 1 species
AUUGAACGCUGGCGGCAUGCUUUACACAUGCGAGUCGAACGGCAGCGCGGGCUUCGGCCUGGCGGCGAGUGGCGAACGGGUGAGUAAUGCAUCGGAACGUGCCCAGUAGUGGGGGAUAGCCCGGCGAAAGCCGGAUUAAUACCGCAUACGGCCUGAGGGUGAAAGCGGGGGACCGAAAGGCCUCGCGCUAUUGGAGCGGCCGAUGUCGGAUUAGCUAGUUGGUGGGGUAAAGGCUUACCAAGGCGACGAUCCGUAGCUGGUCUGAGAGGACGACCAGCCACACUGGGACUGAGACACGGCCCAGACUCCUACGGGAGGCAGCAGUGGGGAAUUUUGGACAAUGGGGGCAACCCUGAUCCAGCCAUGCCGCGUGCGGGAAGAAGGCCUUCGGGUUGUAAACCGCUUUUGUUCGGGAAGAAAUCCUCUGGGCUAAUACCCCGGGGGGAUGACGGUACCGGAAGAAUAAGCACCGGCUAACUACGUG